rnacentral:lncRNA from 1 species
CAACAUCUUCGGCAACCUGUUCGAGAUCACCAACAAAUACCAGCCGCCCAUCAUGCCCAUCGGCCGCGGCGCCUACGGGAUCGUCUGGUACGUUCUCUGUUCGACCCUUGCGGCUAAUCGAUUUGUUGCGAGUUGCGAAGCUGGUUGCAGAUGAUUGGCAGGUGUUAGGGUUAUUAGUUCAUAGGAGGAUGGUCAUCGGGUCAUGGAUUGAUAGGGCCAAUCAUUUCCUUUUCUUAAAAAAUACUAGAGUGAGUGCUGCAGUUGAAGCAGGUUCGGUUAAAUUUAGUAUCGCAGUGGUUGGUGAGCUCUCGAAUCGAAUGAAUACUUCACCUUUUAUUAGGAGUGGUUGAUUUUGUUCUGAAAAAGAAAAAUUCCGUACGGAUGCGCGCAGCUCGGUGAUGAACUUCGAGACGAGGGAGAUGGUGGCGAUCAAGAAGAUCGCCAGCGCUUUCGAUAACCACAUGGACGCCAAGCGCACGCUCCGGGAGAUCAAGCUGCUCCGGCACCUCGACCACGAGAACGUAAGCACGCAUAAAGCACGCGCGCGCGCGCGCCGUGAUUUGCGUUUCAGUUACACGAUGAUGUGUGGGACUGAAUCUGACGCCGGGCAUGGAAAAACAACAGAUCAUAGGCAUCCGGGACGUGAUCCCGCCGCCGAUCCCGCAGGCGUUCAACGAUGUGUACAUCGGCACCGAGCUCAUGGACACGGACCUCCACCACAUCAUCCGCUCCAACCAGGAGCUCUCGGAGGAGCACUGCCAGGUAACUACUAGCUGAAAAGCUGUGAUCGCACGCAAAACUGUUGUUAAUUGAUGACAGAACUAGUCAGACAAGACGCCAUCGACGGUGUCGCCGUCAGCUUGCUAACGAUCUGACGGAGUAAUCUCUGUACGUGUCGGCCGUCGUCUUGCAGUACUUCCUGUACCAGAUCCUGCGCGGGCUCAAGUACAUCCACUCGGCCAACGUGAUCCACCGCGACCUGAAGCCCAGCAACCUGCUGCUGAACGCCAACUGCGACCUCAAGAUCUGCGACUUCGGGCUGGCCCGGCCGUCCUCCGAGAGCGACAUGAUGACGGAGUACGUGGUGACGCGGUGGUACCGCGCCCCCGAGCUCCUGCUCAACUCCACUGACUACUCGGCCGCCAUCGACGUCUGGUCCGUCGGCUGCAUCUUCAUGGAGCUCAUCAACCGCCAGCCCCUCUUCCCCGGCCGCGACCACAUGCACCAGAUGCGCCUCAUCACCGAGGUAACUUUCGGCGUCUCGGGUUGCACGAUGGCAUUUCAGUAUUUCACUCGUGUAUCUCUGACGCCUUCGACCUAUCAUCAUCAUCAUCGGCAGGUGAUCGGGACGCCGACGGAUGAGGAGCUCGGGUUCAUCCGGAACGAGGACGCGCGCAAGUACAUGCGGCACCUGCCGCAGUUCCCGCGGCGGCCGUUCGCGAGCCUGUUCCCGAGGGUGCAGCCCGUGGCGCUGGACCUCAUCGAGCGGAUGCUCACCUUCAACCCGCUGCAGAGGAUCACAGGUCAGCCACACCGGCUCGCCGCCGCGGUUUUGAUUUGCUUUUCUUUUAUCCUCGUGCAACUCGUGCGGCUGCUGAAUCUUUGGGUAUACUCCACGUGCGGUUUUCUAUUCUUGCGUGUUGACCGGUGGUAGAAUCACUGUUCACUACCAUAUUGACGUCGGUGGUUAGUAGUACGUGAGGGCCACUGGCUACCCUUGUGUAUAGGCAAGGAAACACUGGCACAUUUCCGGGUUGGCAUCAAGUAGACAUGGUACUGGCGGCCUCCGGUCAAAGAAAGAGGCGUGCCCUGAGCUAGGUCUGUCCGUCCAAUUUUGAGUAGCUUGACUGUUCUGGUCAGGUUCAAAUGCAAUCUUCUUUGUCCAAAGUAGAAACAUUUAAUAAUCCGCAGGGUUUUGUCAGGGUUUCCGGUCAGGGUUGGGUAGGUUUCUUCGUUGAAUUGAGACCAUAACAGUCUAACGGAAAAGGGCGGCGUCACUUCUGUCAUUCUGUCAUGAAACAUUUAAGCGCUAUACCCUUGUAUUUAAGGUCCACUGCUAGUUCGCUACUUGCUAGCAUGAAUCUCACUUUUGUUCAGUUUGUUGCCUACCGUUCAACUGAUAGAACAAUAUCCCAGUGGGCUUGCAAAUUUGCAGCUAAAAAGCUGAUCCACAGCAAGUUAGUACAAGACAAAAGAGAGUAGUAGAAAUUAUUAUUUUUUUAAAAACAAAUCAAGCAGGAGAAACGCCGAUUAUAUUAAAAAGAAGAAUAAACUCAGACCAGGCAAAAAACGAAAAAACAACAAAAAAAAACAACGAAUACCGGCCAGUUGGAUUGGACAUCAAUCCGCGUUGUACCACGCCAACGUACUACUGAAAACACAACAUCGGCCGGUUGGAUUGGGGCAUCAACCGGACCUCUCUCAACUCUGCCUGGUCGAAUUAGGAUAUCGACACAAGCCUCAACAAAAGACUCUGCUCGAUCGGAUUGGUACAUCGAUCCGGGCCUCAACUCAAACUCACGCGCAGACAACAUGGUUGGUCAAAAGGGGGCAGCGGCACCACCAUGACACUCCACAACACCGGUGCUCGUGCACCAACAGCAACACCAUCACCAGGGCACAAGACUGAUAGAGGAUAACCCGUCAUUACCGACAAUGUCCCACAUCAGGCCAGCCACUGCUAUGCAGGGCUAGCCGCCGUGGUUCGCUGCAGGCCGUGUAGCUAUCGAGCCAUCAGAUCCGCUUGCGCUUCCAAACGAAGUUGUCCUACAUCGGACUAAACUCACCAAGCAAGGCUAGCCGCUGUAGAAUGCUGCAAGCCGUCGAACCAAUACAGGAGCAGCUGUCUCCGGACAUCAACUGCCAACCACGUCCCCCGAGAUCUGGUUGUACACUGUGGCACCAAGCAGCCUCGCCUCAUCGAGGAAAGCAGGGUGCUGGCAGUGCAUCUGGCAGCCAUCAGAGGAUCACCUCCACGCAGGUCUCUUUAGUGAAGCAGAUCUGUCAGCCACCCCGUACCACGCCAGCCACAUGCCAAAUUCGUGGUCACAACUGGCGCACGGCUCCUCCCUACCGUCGCCCUCAUGCCAAGCAGAAGUCUUGCCCUCUAGACACCGUUUCAAACAUCUACUUCCAGUCGCCUUCCGCCACCGCGGGCAUCCGCACCUUAAGUCAUUGACUAGGCCUCCACCCAUUCCACCACGAGGCCCAAAUCCACCAUGGUCGGAGCUUCGCAUCGACACAGCCGCCGCCAUGCGUGAUCGCUCGCCGCCAAACAAACAGGGAAGCUAUCGGGGCGCUGCCCACCACCAUCAGAACUCCGAAGAUGACACCUUCAAGAAGGACACGAUGCUAGCUGCGCUGUCGCCGCCCGCCCAAAAAACUUAAGCAAGGUUUUCACCUAGAGUUUCCGAGAACGACGCGAGGAGAGUGACAUGACAACGUCGCUAACAGGAAAUUGCGGUGCCCAAAGCGUCGCCGUUGUCAACCCGGCACACUGAGCAUGACUUUCGUCCAACACCUCCCCCGAGCAGCUGCCACAAACUUCCCCACCCGUCAUGGCUACACCAACACAAACACCUCCCUGCAACCGCCCCGUCACCAACCAGCCGCCUUAGCGCGACCGCCACCGCAUCCUCCCUCGCGCGUAGGCAUCGCCGCGCAGUCACCACCCAACCCGCACGCCGUUGUGGUGCGGUCUCCUCCUCGCCCUGUGCGCCGCCGAGGCCGCACGGCCUCCCUCCUUGUAGAAAUUGCUAUUGCCACAAGACAAACCUUUUGUACAUUCCUUAAGAGAAACUGUGUAACUAUUCUUGUUUUUCGUUCUGUAUAUUUUAAAUCUUAUGCAUCCGAGUCAUCAAAGUGGUCCUUGCUGAGGAGAGAGCUCUAUAUGCAUUCAAGUUUGUGUCCGUGCCUUUGCAUUUCCACUUAUCUUCAAUUUGCAGUGUUGCUGCUUUGCUCCAUCCUCCCUUAUUUAUGCCUGCUUUGGAGCUUUCUCCGCAUUGCUUUUGUCGAAGUGGCGAUGACCACUAUGUGCAGAAUAAACACGUUCGAUAUGAAAAGAAACAAACACUACAGAAUUACAGAUAAUCUAAGUACUGACUCCAGACUUUGGUUCAGACUCCUGUACCGUGUUCAGACUAGCAGAGUUUUAGCUCAGAGAAUUCGUUAAGGUCCAGGUCUCAUGUCUGACUAAUUUCAGUUCUCACCGAAAUUUCUUUUGCCGUGCAGUUGAAGAGGCGCUGGACCACCCGUACCUGGAGCGAUUACACGACAUCGCUGACGAGCCCAUCUGCACGGAUCCGUUCUCGUUCGACUUCGAGCAGCAGGCUCUGACUGAGGACCAAAUGAAGCAGCUAAUUUUCAACGAGGCCAUCGAAAUGAACCCGAAUUUCCGAUAUUAGAUUGGAUCCCCAGAUGUACGGUUCACAUCUAUGCAUGU